UUCACCCCGCGACUACUACAGGAUCAAGUACCAGAAAGAGCUGGGCGAGGGUCGGCCGUACCGGCCGCCGCCCAAGCCGGACCCGCCGCGCCAGGUGCCGCCCUAUCUUGGCUUCGGCAGCGAGGAGGACACGCUCACCUCCGUCUUCAACCUCAUACCGCAGGCGCCCAAGAAGGACUUCAACAAGUUCAUGGUCAACGACAGGAACGGCCUAGACGGCCAUGUGCUGCGCUUCUCGGCUCAGAUGGUGACCACCAGCAAGAUCGACGCCACCAGGAAGUUCAUCCUGUGCUUCUUCCUCAGCGACGACACCCUCUCCAUAUACGAGGUGCCCAUACCCAACAGCGGGAUCGCCGGAGGCCAGUUCCUGGAGCGGGGCCCGGUGCGGCGCGACCCGGAGUGCCGCC